UACGAGGGGGGCGAGCGUUGUUCGGAAUUAUUGGGCGUAAAGGGCGCGUAGGCGGUGCGGUAAGUCACCUGUGAAACCUCUGGGCUCAACUCAGAGCCUGCAGGCGAAACUGCCGUGCUGGAGUGUGGGAGAGGUGCGUGGAAUUCCCCGGUGUAGCGGUGAAAUGCGUAGAUAUCGGGAGGAACACCUGUGGCGAAAGCGGCGCACUGGACCACAACUGACGCUGAGGCGCGAAAGCUAGGGGAGCAAACAGG
rnacentral:rRNA from 1 species